rnacentral:rRNA from 1 species
GAUGAACGCUGGCUACAGGCUUAACACAUGCAAGUCGAGGGGAAACGACGGGGAAGCUUGCUUCCCCGGGCGUCGACCGGCGCACGGGUGAGUAACGCGUAUCCAACCUGCCUCUGACUGAGGGAUAACCCGUCGAAAGUCGGCCUAAUACCUCAUGGUAUCGUCUGCGGGCAUCCAACGACGAUUAAAGAUUUCAUCGGUCAGGGGUGGGGAUGCGUCUGAUUAGCUUGUUGGCGGGGUAACGGCCCACCAAGGCUACGAUCAGUAGGGGUUCUGAGAGGAAGGUCCCCCAGAUUGGAACUGGGACACGGUCCAAACUCCUACGGGAGGCAGCAGUGAGGAAUAUUGGUCAAUGGGCGAGAGCCUGAACCAGCCAAGUAGCGUGCAGGAAGACGGCCCUAUGGGUGGUAAACUGCUUUUAGGCGGGGAUAAAGUGAGGGACGUGUCCCUCAUUGCAGGUACCGCAUGAAUAAGGACCGGCUAAUUCCGUG